AGAACGUAAUUCGCUAACGCCGUAUUUUCGAAAUGGCAUAUCUCGAGUUCAAGUUUGAGGACGAAAUUACUAAAUAUAUUCGGGAACAAGAAUUGGCAACGUCACUGAAAUUCGUAAUAUUGGGAAAGGACAAAAGUUUUGGACAAAAGGAUGCACAGCCUUUGGCACGGAAAAAACUCAGCUGGGAGAGUAAAAGUAUCCCGUUCAAUGGUGUUCCGUUUCAAGUUGUUGGCACAAAGACGUAUGAAUGCCACCAGGGCAAAGACAGACAGACAAAAGCCAAAGAGAAAUAUGCUGCUGAAAGAGACAAGAAGGAACUUGAAGACCAUGCCUUUGUAAAGAGACGGAAACUGGUACAAAAUACCAAAAAGGUGGACUGCAAGGCUAUAAUAAACAUCGCCCACGUUAUUCGCUUUCCUGAUUUUAAGAUUGAGGAAGGUACAGUGCGCUCUAAAAAGGAGGCCUCCCAAACUCUGAAGGCAGCACUAAGUGAAACACCCAGCUCCGUGAAGGCAGAGGUUGUCUACUGCGUCAGGUUCCCCUCCCUCUCUGAGCACAGCUCACAUGCAGUUGUUGGCGAGGCAGCUCAUGUUAGGGAAGCUGUAGAUGCCAGGCUGAGAGAGAAGAUUGAGCAGCUGACUCUGUCUGGUGUGAGAAAGAUGACUGAAAUGAAGUGUCAUCUGAACACCUUUGUAGUGGAAGAGCUUUUCCAUGGAGAGCAGCCCCCUCCACCUACUCGCAGGCGCUAUUACCCCACUGACAGUGACAUAAGAAAUGUCAUGUUUAAGACCAAGCGGGCCACCGGAGACUCCAACAUUGACCGUCCAUACGAAGGUCCAUCUGGAAGAGGAAAGAAGAGGUCCUCUAGGAAGCUGUUGCGGUUACGGAGGCAAUGUGCAGGAUAUCUUAAAGAGAUCACAGAACUCACUUAUCAUCUCCAAGAGGAACAGUACGUGACUGACCUGUCUUCACAGCUCAGAAGUGUGCUGCUGGAUAUGAAGGCCCAUGUUCCACAGGAUAAAGACCUUCCACUGACCUUUUCUCCAAGGAAGAGAAAAGCUGAGAUGGACAUGGACCUCAUUCCAACCAAGAGUGCAUCACACCCUUUCAUAGAUGGGUUAGAACAGCAUACAGAGGACAUAGUGAGUGUGGAUACCUUGUUGGCAUUGAGCCUAGGUUAGUAGGGCUGAGUGGAUACCUUGUUGGCAUUGAGCCUAGGUUAGUAGGGCUGAGUGGAUACCUUGUUGGCAUUGAGCCUAGGUUAGUAGGGCUGAGUGGAUACCUUGUUGGCAUUGAGCCUAGGGUAGUAGGGCUGAGUGGAUACCUUGUUGGCAUUGAGCCUAGGGUAGUAGGGCUGAGUGGAUACCUUGUUGGUAUUGAGCCUAGGUUAGUAGGGCUGAGUGGAUAUGUUGGUAUUUAGCCUAGGGCUGAUGACUGUGUGGAUACCUUGUUGGCAUUGAGCCUAGGGUCAUAGGGCUGCGUGGAUACCUUGUUUACAUUGAGCCUAUGGUAGUAGGGCUGCGUGGAUACCUUGUUGGCAUUGAGCCUAGGUUAGUAGGGCUGCGUGGAUACCUUGUUGGUAUUUAGCCUAGGGCUGAUGACUGUGUGGGUUCUGCCUCCAAUUGAGUAUAUUUUGGGUAGUGUAACUUUUAUUUCAACUAAUGUUACUGUAACGGAUGUGAAAUGGCUAGCUAGAUUAAAGUUAUACUGUUACAUUAACAACUUCAUUAAAACAUGUUUUCUCAUCUGUACAACAAAUACAUGACUAUAGUACGUCAUUUAGGAGGCAUAUAUAAACACACGGUUCCACUCAUCUGCAGCUACUCUGCACUUUAUUGUAUUCUGGUCUGUCCUGAUGCCUAGUCACUUUACCCUGCACAUUUAUCUCUUUGAUCUGGUACUUCCUGUAUAUAGCUGCACAUUGAUCUGGUACUGGUAAUCCCUGUAUAUAGCUGCGCAUUGAUCUGGUACUGGUAAUCCCUGUAUAUAGCUGCACAUUGAUCUGGUACUGGUAAUCCCUGUAUAUAGUUGCACAUUGAUCUGGUACUGGUAAUCCCUGUAUAUGGUGUUAUUAUUGUGUAUUCUAUUCCUCUUGUUACAAUCCCCAUGUUUUUUUAAAAACUUUGAAUCGUUGUGAAGGGCUGUAAGCAAGAAUUUCACGGUUAAGUCUACACACCUGUUAUAUUCGGCGCAUGUGACAAAUAAAAUUUGUUUUUGAAGUGCCCAAAUAAAGUAACAGGGUUGACCUUAAAAGUGUUGACGUUUAAUCUUAAAUCAGAC
ensembl:lncRNA